rnacentral:rRNA from 1 species
UGCGGUUAUACAAAUAAUAUAAUUUAAUUUUUUUAAUAUUAAUUAGUUGAAUAAAAUUUAAUUUUAAUAAAUAGUUUAUAGGGUGAAAUUUUAAAUUAUUAUUAAAAUUAGUAUAUUUAAAUGAAUUAUGAAAAUUAAAAUUAAAACUAGGAUUAGAUACCCUAUUAUUUUAAAUGUAUUUUUUAUUUAUUAGAUUAGUAGUAGUUAUGUUCUUGAAAAUUAAAAAUUUUGGCGGUAUUUUAUUCUUAUCAGAGGAACCUGUUGCGUAAAUGAUAUUCCACGAUUAAAUUUACUUUUAUUAUUAGUUUACAUAUCGUCGUAGUUAAAUAUUUUUUUAGAAUAAAAAUAUUUAUAAUUUUUAAUUAAAAAAUAAAUCAGAUCAAGGUGUAGUUUAUAUAAAAGUAUUAAUGGGUUACAAAAAAAAUAUUUAAGGAUAAUUAUUUUUAAUAGUAAUUUGAAUAUGGAUUUGUUAGUAAAAUUUUUUAUUUUAAAAUAUUGAUUUUAGAUAUAAAGUAUGU